rnacentral:rRNA from 1 species
AUUGAACGCUGGCGGCAGGCUUAACACAUGCAAGUCGAGCGGGGUGAUGGUGCUUGCACUAUCACUUAGCGGCGGACGGGUGAGUAAUGCUUAGGAAUCUGCCUAUUAGUGGGGGACAACAUCUCGAAAGGGAUGCUAAUACCGCAUACGUCCUACGGGAGAAAGCAGGGGAUCACUUGUGACCUUGCGCUAAUAGAUGAGCCUAAGUCGGAUUAGCUAGUUGGUGGGGUAAAGGCCUACCAAGGCGACGAUCUGUAGCGGGUCUGAGAGGAUGAUCCGCCACACUGGGACUGAGACACGGCCCAGACUCCUACGGGAGGCAGCAGUGGGGAAUAUUGGACAAUGGGGGGAACCCUGAUCCAGCCAUGCCGCGUGUGUGAAGAAGGCCUUAUGGUUGUAAAGCACUUUAAGCGAGGAGGAGGCUCUUUUGGUUAAUACCCAAGAUGAGUGGACGUUACUCGCAGGAUAAGCGCCGGCUAACUCUGUGCCAGCCGCCGCGGUAA